rnacentral:tRNA from 1 species
AGGGGGAGAGGCCCCGGCACCUUCUUGGGGUGCGUUGCCGAAUUUGCACUUCGG